GAGAAGUGAGCUACUUGUCCCUAGCAAAGACGUUUCCAGGGCUAAUAGAGAAAGAAUUAGAAUCAAACCAUAUAGUCAAGAAAGCCAAGAGGACAAUAAGACACAGGAUCCCGCAGCAAGCCCAUGGAAGGAAUAAAAUACGGAUGGAGACACAUACUAACAUAAGGCCACAUGAGGACACAGUGAGAAGUUGGAAGUCUACAACCCAGAAGAGAGCCCUCAACAGAACCUAACCAUGCUGGUACCCUGAUCUCAGACAUCCAGCCUCCAGAAGAGUGAAAAAAUAUAAUUCUUAUUUCUAAGCAACCUAGUCUAUGGUAUUUCAUUAUGGCAGCCCAAGCUAAGACAGCUCCCUAUCCUAUUCACCAUGCUGCAGAGCCACAUGAGCCUCCCUUUUGUUCCUCAAGCUCAUCAAAUCCCUCCUAGCCUUAGAACUUAUUAUUCCCUCUAACCAGAAUUCUCUUCCAGGUCUUUCCAUCCUGUAAGUCUUGUCCUUUAGAUCUAAAUUCACAUGUGACCUCCCCUGAGAACUGUCCUCUGAAAACCUAUCUCAAAGAGUCUUCCCAGUUACUCUCUACCUUACCCCAAGGUUAUUAUCUUCCCACCACUUUUCCACAUUUGUAAUCAUUUGCUUUUCUAUAUGUGUGAUAUGGUUAGGCUUACUAUCCCUACCCAAAUCUCGUGUUAAAUUGUAAUCCCCAGGGAGAUUACAAUUUAGGGAAAGACCUGGUGGGAAGUGAUUGGAUUAUGGGGGUGGGUUCCCCCAUGCUGUUCUUGUGAUAGUGAGUGAAUUCUCAUAAAAUCUAAUGGUUUUGUAAAUGGUGGUUUUUCCUGUGCUGACUCAUUCUCUCUCCUGCUGCCUUGUGAAGAGGUGCCUUCUGCCAUGACUGUAAGUUUCCUGAAGCUUCCCCAACCAUGGGGAACUGUGAGUCAAUUAAACCUCUUUGCUUUAUAAAUUA